rnacentral:rRNA from 1 species
AUACGGAGGGUGCGAGCGUUGUUCGGAAUUAUUGGGCGUAAAGAGCAUGUAGGCGGUCUGUUAAGUCUGGUGUGAAAGCUCGGGGCUCAACCCCGGAAGUGCAUUGGAUACUGGCAGACUUGAGUAUGGGAGAGGAAAGCGGAAUUCCGAGUGUAGGAGUGAAAUCCGUAGAUAUUCGGAGGAACACCAGUGGCGAAGGCGGCUUUCUGGACCAAUACUGACGCUGAGAUGCGAAAGCGUGGGAGCGAACAGGAUUAGAAACCCCAGUAGUCC